rnacentral:rRNA from 1 species
AAUAGAUACCCAGGUAGUCCACGCCGUAAACGAUGAGUGCUAAGUGUUGGGGGUUUCCGCCCCUCAGUGCUGCAGCUAACGCAUUAAGCACUCCGCCUGGGGAGUACGGUCGCAAGACUGAAACUCAAAGGAAUUGACGGGGGCCCGCACAAGCGGUGGAGCAUGUGGUUUAAUUCGAAGCAACGCGAAGAACCUUACCAGGUCUUGACAUCCCGGUGACCACUAUGGAGACAUAGUUUCCCCUUCGGGGGCAACGGUGACAGGUGGUGCAUGGUUGUCGUCAGCUCGUGUCGUGAGAUGUUGGGUUAAGUCCCGCAACGAGCGCAACCCUUAUUCUUAGUUGCCAUCAUUCAGUUGGGUACUCUAAGGAGACUGCCGGUGAUAAACCGGAGGAAGGUGGGGAUGACGUCAAAUCAUCAUGCCCCUUAUGACCUGGGCUACACACGUGCUACAAUGGACGGUACAAACGGUUGCCAACCCGCGAGGGGAGCUAAUCCGAUAAAACCGUUCUCAGUUCGGAUUGUAGGCUGCAACUCGCCUACA